GAGUUUGAUCAUGGCUCAGGAUGAACGCUGGCGGCGUGCCUAAUACAUGCAAGUCGAGCGAACAGACGGGGAGCUUGCUCCCCUGACGUUAGCGGCGGACGGGUGAGUAACACGUGGGUUAACCUACCUAUAAGACUGGAAUAACUCCGGGAAACCGGGGCUAAUGCCGGAUAACAUGUUGGACCGCAUGGUCCUACAGUGUAAAGACGGUCUUGCUGUCACUUAUAGG
rnacentral:rRNA from 1 species